GAUGAACGCUAGCGGCAGGCUUAAUACAUGCAAGUCGAGGGGCAGCAUGAGUGUAGCAAUACAUUUGAUGGCGACCGGCAAACGGGUGCGGAACACGUACAGAACCUUCCUUCGAGCGGGGAAUAGCCCAGAGAAAUUUGGAUUAAUACCCCAUAGCAUAUUGAAGAGGCAUCUCUUUAAUAUUAAAGAUUUAUCACUUGAAGAUGGCUGUGCGGCNGAUUAGGUAGUUGGCGGGGUAAUGGCCCACCAAGCCUACGAUCAGUAACUGGUGUGAGAGCACGACCAGUCACACGGGCACUGAGACACGGGCCC
rnacentral:rRNA from 1 species